rnacentral:miRNA from 1 species
CAGUUUGGAACAAUCGAAGCC